rnacentral:rRNA from 1 species
GACGUAGGGCGCGAGCGUUGUCCGGAAUUACUGGGCGUAAAGCGUGCGCAGGCGGCUUCGCAAGUCAGACGUGAAAUCCCCGGGCUUAACCUGGGAAUGGCGUUUGAAACUACGGAGCUGGAGUAUGGCAGAGGGGGGUGGAAUUCCACGUGUAGCGGUGAAAUGCGUAGAUAUGUGGAGGAACACCGAUGGCGAAGGCAGCCCCCUGGGCCAAUACUGACGCUCAUGCACGAAAGCGUGGGGAGCAAACAGG